GAGGUUGUAGCUCAGGUAGAGCACAUGCUCGGCAUGCAUGAGGCCCUGGGUUCAAUUCCCUGUUCCUCCA
rnacentral:tRNA from 1 species